UACGUAAGGGGCAAGCGUUGUCCGGAUUUAUUGGGCGUAAAGAGCGUGUAGGCGGUUAGGUAGGUCCGUUGUGAAAACUCGAGGCUCAACCUCGAGACGCCGAUGGAAACCAUCUGACUAGAGUCCGGAAGAGGAGAGUGGAAUUCCUGGUGUAGCGGUGAAAUGCGCAGAUAUCAGGAAGAACACCCGUGGCUAAGGCGGCUCUCUAGUACGUGACUGACGCUGAGACGCGAAAGCGUGGGGAGCGAACAGG
rnacentral:rRNA from 1 species